UACGAAGGGUGCAAGCGUUACUCGGAAUUACUGGGCGUAAAGCGUGCGUAGGUGGUUUGUUAAGUCUGUUGUGAAAGCCCCGGGCUCAACCUGGGAAUGGCAAUGGAUACUGGCAGGCUAGAGUGCGGUAGAGGGUAGUGGAAUUCCCGGUGUAGCGGUGAAAUGCGUAGAUAUCUGGAGGAACACCGGUGGCGAAGGCGGCAUCCUGGACCGGCAUUGACGCUGAGGCGCGAAAGCCAGGGGAGCAAACGGG
rnacentral:rRNA from 1 species